UACGUAGGGUGCAAGCGUUAAUCGGAAUUACUGGGCGUAAAGCGUGCGCAGGCGGUGAUGUAAGACAGAUGUGAAAUCCCCGGGCUCAACCUGGGAACUGCAUUUGUGACUGCAUCGCUGGAGUGCGGCAGAGGGGGAUGGAAUUCCGCGUGUAGCAGUGAAAUGCGUAGAUAUCAGGAGGAAUACCGAUGGCGAAGGCAGGUCUCUGGGCUGACACUGACGCUCAUGCACGAAAGCGUGGGGAGCAAACAGG
rnacentral:rRNA from 1 species